CUUUGUCCCAGAGCUGAACUGUUCUUUGAAACGGAUGCACGGAGAAGCUGUCGAGGUUUCACCUGAACAGUACAAAUGAGGGACACAGUCAAGAAAUGUAAUAGGUUUAAUGAGGUUUAGUAUAGUUUUCAUCUGGAAAAGCUACACAGAUGAUGAGCAGGUGUGUCUGCCAAGGACUUUCUGAGACCACUCCCACCACUCGAAGACCUACAGUAGUUUUCACCCACGCCCACAGCUACCAAAGCCACCUCACAGCCACCUCACCAAAGCUAGGUCUGUGGACCAUGACAUGUUGAACGGAGGUGAUAUAAAGUAUUUCGAACAGAGGAGAGUAAGCAAGUGCCUACCAAGAGUCUCAUCAUGGAUGUGCAGCAGACAAACCUGCAGCAACUGUGCGCAGCAAAAGGUCAUUCAGAAUCAUUUCAUGAAAGGAGCCAGUUGAGAUGGAUCAGGCAUCUAACACUGGGAGGAGGCCCCGGGGCAGACUCAGGAUGCACUGAAGAGAUUAUCUUGGCUGGUCUGGUAAUGCCCGGACAUGCUUGAGGAGGUGGUCGGAGAGAGGGAAGUCUGAGCUUCUCGGCUUAGGCUGCUGCCCCCGCAACCCGGGGAAGAGCGGAAGAAAAUGGAUGGAUUUGUGGCUGGAUGGAUGGAAUUUCAUGUAACAGUGACUUCUUUUCAAAAGUUACAAACUUGAGCAUUUUAUUCUGAAAAACUGUACGAGCUGAAGACAGGUACCAUCACAGAAAAACAAACAUGAUGCUCGUUAAACAUAAAUACAUUUAUAAACAUGACACUGGUAUAAACACUUUCCUGAACCACCACAUAGAAAAAAAUUUAACUUUAAAAGUCAGACAUAAGUUCCUAAAAAUAAUCAACAACCUCCUGAAGGGAAAAAUGUUUGAGAUUGUUUGACUGAUCUUAUCACCCUAACAUCACAUACUGCACAUGAUCAUGUCUUCUUAUUUUACUACAUGAUUUUUAUGUUUGUUGUUUGUUUUAUGUAUGCUUUAUAAAUACAGUUUCUUAUUAAUUAAUGAAAACUCCACAUUUUUACAAAUAUAAACAGAAUAGUAACAUAAAUUCUUUGUACAGGGCACAGACUAAUACAAUUCAGAUUUUCUAAGUGUAAAUAAAUAGUACACAAUUUACUGUUGGAACUACAUCUCCCAUAAUGCUGGAAACGCUUGAGAAAGAACUAAGUGUGAGCUCAGUCAUUAAACUGUUCUCAUAAAACACUGGUGGACUUGAAUCUGUUGAUUGAUUUCAGAAAUCUUGCGGCUGUUUGCACCAGUGAAGGAGAAAUUAGUCGAAAAUAACUUGAUUCCUUCAGCUUAAUCAUUAAUAAAGUUUUGUUUUAACAAACCCUUUUUUCCCUGGUAAGUACCUAAUGGGCAGAAAACAUCGUGUAGAAAAAAAAUUUCUUCACAAAUAAUAUCCAGUGUUUGAUGUCAAAGAUCAAUAAAUAAACCAAUCAACUCAUUUAUAAAUUUGACAUAUCAGCUGACAUGAUGGAACCUGAAGUUAUUUUAAUCUCUGACUUGAGCUUCAAACCUCACACUGAUCUCAUUACUAAGGCAGCCCUCUUCCAGCUCUAAGAAAAUCAUUAAAGUGUGACCUCUCCUGACUCAGUCACCUCUGCUGAUGUCAUCAACUAACAUGUAACUGGAUUACAACAGCAUCCAGCCUCUUAUAACGCUAAUUUUAAAAUACUUUGACUUUUAUUUUAAGCCUUAAAUAAUGCUGAACUCAGUUACAUUUAUGAUAUUCUUUCACUUUUGGUCCUGGACAUCAAAAUUCCUCAGAGAGAAAAAUUGUGGAUGUAGCUUUUUGCUGUUGAUGUCUCAAAACUGUGAAACAGUCAACCUGUAAAAAUAAAUACUUUUAAGCCAUUGUUUCUGGUAUGUUUUCUGGUGGGCUAAAGGUCAAAUAAAAGAGCAGCAACUUGAUGAAUGAAUUACAAAUCAGACAGGACAGAGUUUCUAUGAGAGUUACAGCAAACUGCAGAAACAUAGUUGCAGGUGAUGAUUAUUGUGCUCUGAAGCUCCUGUUUUUAAGUUUCAUGUGAACUAAGUGCUGGGGAGACAUUUUUACUGGUAAAAAUGUUUUCUGCUGUGAAUUUGGUGAGGUGACUGGAAAGCUCUAUGAAUUAUAGGUCUGUUUUAUUAACACUUUAUUAAAGGCUUUCCUUUGACUGUAACUUUUACACAUCUAAUUACUAUAAUGUGACGUUUCACAGUGAACCAUGGGUCACUAAUCAUGAUUUACUGCAGCUGAAGCCAUGAUGUCCUAACCUAAUGUCCAAAUUAAGAGAGAUUAGUUUUAGCAUAAAAUUAUUAAAAUCAUGAUUAAUGACA